rnacentral:rRNA from 1 species
GCCUACGGGGGGCAGCAGUAGGGAAUCUUCCACAAUGGGCGAAAGCCUGAUGGAGCAACGCCGCGUGGGUGAAGAAGGUCUUCGGAUCGUAAAACCCUGUUGUUAGAGAAGAAAGUGCGUGAGAGUAACUGUUCACGUUUCGACGGUAUCUAACCAGAAAGCCACGGCUAACUACGUGCCAGCAGCCGCGGUAAUACGUAGGUGGCAAGCGUUGUCCGGAUUUAUUGGGCGUAAAGGGAACGCAGGCGGUCUUUUAAGUCUGAUGUGAAAGCCUUCGGCUUAACCGGAGUAGUGCAUUGGAAACU